rnacentral:rRNA from 1 species
UACGUAGGUGGCAAGCGUUGUCCGGAUUUACUGGGCGUAAAGAGCGCGCAGGCGGUCGUUCAAGUCGCGUGUGAAAGCCCCCGGCUCAACUGGGGAGGGUCACGCGAUACUGUUCGACUCGAAGGCAGGAGAGGGAAGUGGAAUUCCCGGUGUAGUGGUGAAAUGCGUAGAGAUCCGGAGGAACCCCAGAGGCGAAGGCGGCGUCCUGGCCCAUUUCUGACGUUCAGACAUGACAGCAUGGGGAGCGAACGGG